GAGUGAACCUUUUGGGAGAAGAUUCCCAUUUGGAUUGCUCACUGACCUUGGAGAAAGGACAGGUACAUAAAGAAGAGACAGAAUCAUCAUUCAUGAUGAUUUUCAUCAUCUAUGUCAUCAGAUCAUCAUAUCAAGACCUCUGGCAAAAGACAGGAGCCAGGAGAUCAUGCUGUAAUUAUGAGGAAGAGCUAAAAAGAAGCUCUGAAGUUCUUGAGACCACUUGUCCUCUCAACAUCCCCAGAAGAAAAGAUACAUAUGAUUGAAUUAAAAUGUGUAAAUUAAUCUCUAUAUGUUAAAAUACCAGGAAAUCUUGGGGAGUUGGAAAAUCUAGUAAAUCUUCUGAGUCUGAACUGAGGAGAUUUCUUGCAUGCUUGAGAAAAGAAGGGAUGGACAACACAAGGACAGAUAUUCAGGGUGCAUCCAGAGAGCUAAUGAAACUGAGAUUUUAAAGAUUUUAAUUCAUUGUGAUUGGCAAAUAAUAGCUGAUUUUAUCAAGCCAAAUUCUUAAAAAGAAUAUAAAGCUAUUAUUCUUACAAUGCAGACAGAAGGAAUGCAGCAAUUCUAGGGGCUGAUUCCCAGCAUGAAGCUUCUUGUCUUUGUAGAGUACAACUUCUAUUCUGCCUGGCUCUAGAAUACUUUCAUAUAUAUAAUCAUCUCUCUGGGAAAGAGUGGCUGAAAUUGUGAUUUAAAACAGCGUUGGUUUUGAAAACUGAUUUCCACCACUUGAAAAACAUGGAAUGUUGGUAAUCUCAAACACAUACAACUGGCUACUACUAAUCCAUAUUUUUCACUGUGCAUGCAUUUUCAUCUAUGAAUCAUAUUUUCUUAUAUUUUUCACUGUGAAAAAUAUGAGAAUGACAAGGCUGAAGGCAUUCCAGAAAACUUAAUACUGGUUCCAUUCAGCAUGCUUCAGAUUAGGUUUGUUAUUGAUACAGCCCAAGAAAUGCUAGCAGAAGUCAGGCAGAUUAAAAGCCAAACAACUACUUAAUCAAUUAGAUUGAUGAAAAACUAGCUCGACUGUGGCUGUCUUGGGCUGUGGAGCCACACCUGAGAGACAGAUAAAUGUCAUCAGUCUUGAUGUGAAUUGAAGGUCUGAAGAGCAGCCUUUGCUGCAGCCAUCUGCUGGUCCUUUGUAAUGCUUCUCUUCCAUCAAAUUGUAAAAUGUCAGGCCUGAAGAACACAGCUGGUAUCCAAUUUAAAUAAAGUAAACAGGUGACUCUAGCAUGGGUUUCAAAAUCAGUCAUCUCUCAUUUUAAUGCAAGAUAUGUGGGGAGUGGUGUGGUGUGCGAUUACUAACGACACCAGAGUCCUGGCCUUGCUUCUACAGUCAAGACACAGAUAAGGAGACUCAGAGAUAAGUGAAUAAAUUCAUUGUGUUAAUACAUAGCAGAGUUUAGUAAUCAACAGUCAAAUUACACCCAUACAUUUGCAUAAAUGGGUAAAAAUACCUCUAUUUUUAAUUAUUAAAAGCUGAUUACAAAAUGUCCAAACUAAUGCUGCAAAUUAUAUUCCAAUGCCCAUUUUUUUACCUAGUCCUCUAAUUCUAAACUCACUAUAGGGAGGUGGAGUUCAGCCCUUGUCUAAAGCAAUACUUGUGAUGCAGAACUUAAAAAAUACAUGCCCAGUUUUCUUUGCUUCACAUCUGUCCCCAGAAUGCUGAAACAAGUUUCCUCUUUCUUCCGUAUCACACUACCUAUUGGCAAUACCUAAAACUCAGAAAUGUACUCAAUGAAUUGAUUUAGAUUUUUUAUUUUUAAUUCCGGGUUUAUUUUCCUUCAUGCACAUUUCUACAGCUAUAAGACUAUCAAAAGAAACACUUUCAUAAACAUCUGCUAUAGACAUUUUACUCCUACAGCACAUCAACACUAAACCAAAUGUUCAACUCAUCUGAGGAAUUCAAAUAACAGAAAAAAUGCUUUGCAACCUCAGUUUCAGAGAGUGAUCUCUAGAACAACAGGACACUUAGGAACCCAGGAAAAGAAAUAUUAAAAAAAUAUCAGGUGAUUAUCUCUGAAGAUGCAGUUCAGAAUUCUUCAGUUUGUAACUUCUUCGCGUAAGAAACUUGGACAAUAAAAUUUACCUCCACUGGUUUCAUACUAGCAAAUAGAAAUUUCUCUGUUAUAAUAGAUACAGUUAUUUCUCCUGUACCUGCAGUAUGGUACAAAGAAGCAGCAUCUCUUGAGACUGUAAUAAUGUAACAAUACUGAGUAACCUGAAUGCUUCUAUUUUCAUAUAUACUUUUAAGGGGUUUAACCUUUCUCUGAGUAGGAGUGUUUACAAAAUGUCACUCAGUGAGUCAUAGCACACUUCUGCUUGCUCCUAAAGUUUCAACAGGUAAGCACUGAAAUUCAGUGCAAACAGGAGCACAAACAGCAAGAUACAUUAACUUGAACCACACAAGCUCCCUCUGGGCUGUCUAUUUCCAUACUUUGUGACAAAAUACAGUUGUACAUGUUGGCUAGACACAGAUAACCCACAUGCACAGUAUUUCCUCUUUACUACCUCUUAAGAAGAGAUGAUUACCUAUCUUACCUCAUUGUCUUUCACAUACAAAAACCCAGAGGCAGAGGGAGAGCUGCACCUUUCUAAGUCUACUUGUUUUUUGAGAGUUUCUCUGGCAACUUUAAACACUGCUGGCAGGCCUAAUCUACAGUCUGAGAGCAUCCUUUGAGGACUCAGCUUGACACACAACCUAUAAAAGCUGCAGGUACCAAAGUAUUUUAACUAUACAAAGUCCUGUAGAGUUUGCAGAUCUAAAACAAUUUUAAAAAUGGUAGUACUAUCCUGCAUUGUAUACUGAAAGUUAAUUUUCUAUGUGAGAGAAAUUGCGACCUUUGCAAAUAUUAUGAUAUAUUGCACUAAAGGGAUCAUAAUACUUGGCAUUAGCUAGAACAGUUUCAAGGUUUUAAACUGAGAUCUGAGUCAGAAAAUAAAUAUUUUUUAAAACAUA